CUACGUGCCAGCAGCCGCGGUAAUACGUAGGUGGCAAGCGUUGUCCGGAAUUAUUGGGCGUAAAGCGUGCGCAGGCGGAUCAGUCAGUCUGUCUUAAAAGUUCGGGGCUUAACCCCGUGAUGGGAUGGAAACUGCUGAUCUAGAGUAUCGGAGAGGAAAGUGGAAUUCCUAGUGUAGCGGUGAAAUGCGUAGAUAUUAGGAAGAACACCAGUGGCGAAGGCGACUUUCUGGACGAAAACUGACGCUGAGGCGCGAAAGCCAGGGGAGCGAACGGGAUUAGAUACCCCGGUAGUCCUGGCCGUAAACGAUGGGUACUAGGUGUAGGAGGUAUCGACCCCUUCUGUGCCGGAGUUAACGCAAUAAGUACCCCGCCUGGGGAGUACGACCGCAAGGUUGAAACUCAAAGGAAUUGACGGGGGCCCGCACAAGCGGUGGAGUAUGUGGUUUAAUUCGACGCAACGCGAAGAACCUUACCAGGUCUUGACAU
rnacentral:rRNA from 1 species